rnacentral:rRNA from 1 species
GACGAACGCUGGCGGCGUGCUUAACACAUGCAAGUCGAACGGAAAGGCCCUGCUUUUGUGGGGUGCUCGAGUGGCGAACGGGUGAGUAACACGUGAGUAACCUGCCCUUGACUUUGGGAUAACUUCAGGAAACUGGGGCUAAUACCGGAUAGGAGCUCCUGCUGCAUGGUGGGGGUUGGAAAGUUUCGGCGGUUGGGGAUGGACUCGCGGCUUAUCAGCUUGUUGGUGGGGUAGUGGCUUACCAAGGCUUUGACGGGUAGCCGGCCUGAGAGGGUGACCGGCCACAUUGGGACUGAGAUACGGCCCAGACGCGUACGGGAGGCAGCAGUGGGAAAUAUGGCACAAUGGGCGGAAGUCUGAGGCAGAAACGCCGGGUGCGGGAUGACGGCCUUCGGGUGGUAAACCGCUUUCGACUGUGACGAAGCGUGAGUGACGGUAAUGGGUAAAGAAGCACCGGCUAACUACGUG